ensembl:lncRNA
GUUAACAGCGGUUGAGCUGGAAACAACAUUUAUGGGAAACCUGGACAAACACACAGAUGCACUCCUGUCUUUGUUUUGCACCAAGGGUGGACAUGCUGGACAGCAAAUUAGUGAAAUUUUGAAUAUGCUAAACCAGACCAGCCCUGUGGAACAACGUAGAGAAGUUGUAAUUCGAUGCUUAAUUGUCUACCUCUAUGAAAAUCCUGAGAAUCUCAUCAAGCACCAUCAGGAUACUCAUGGGAACAAGGAGGAACUGGAACCGCUCACACUUAAGAUCAUCACGAAAGGUGGCUCAACAGAUGAUCCAUUACAGACUGGGAUAGUGCUGGAAGGCAUUGAGGUGAUGACUGGAUUGGCAGGUGUUGCAAAGGCUUGUGUUUAUCUGCUUGGCCUAAUUUAUGCAAUUAAUCUGAGUUACCCCAAAGAGCUCAGAUACUCAUUUGAAUUUUUUCAGAAGAUUCUACUGGAGCUAGAUAGUGGGAAACUUUCUCCAAAGGUUUACUCUCUGAAGAACAAGCUUCUUUGUUAAAAUGAAAGAUAUCGAUUGUGUUCUGACUAUUACGCCUUGUAAUAUGUUUGUCACAAGACACAUCUGGUUAUAGUACAGUGUUUUUCAGCAGUUGUUUGAUUGCAUUCUUGUUUUAUUCUUAGGAUGUUUGUUGCGUGUUCCAAAAGUAAAUGUUAGAAAAACUGUUGCAAAGGGUGAAAAAAAGUCAUUUCACCUAUUGUGAAGAUUGCAAUCUGUCUUACAAACAAAACAAAAAGAAAGAAAAUGCUUUUUUUCUAGUUUUAUUAGGAAUUUUGUACAAAAGUAAAUGUUGGAAAAAUGUAAAUCUUUUAAGAAGUGUUGCUAAGGGUGAAAAAUCAAGGAAGUAACCUGUUGGAAGUGAACUUCCAUUUGUCGAUUUGUCACAUUUUGAUGUACAUUCAUGAUUUGUGGUUUUAGGCUUCAUCGUUGCUUUGCAGCCUGUCAAAAAAAUAAAUAAACUGAAAUGCUUUAAUUUGUGUAAUUU